GAUGAAGAACGUAGUGAAAUGCGAUAAGUAAUGUGAAUUGCAGAAUUCAGUGAAUCAUCGAAUCUUUGAACGCACAUUGCGCCCCUUGGUAUUCCGAGGGGCAUGCCUGUUCGAGCGUCAUUAUAACCCCUCAAGCUCAGCUUGGUGUUGGGGCCUGCUGCACUGGCAGCCCUUAAAAUCAGUGGCGGCGCCAUCUGGCUCUAAGCGUAGUAAUUCUUCUCGCUAUGGAGUCCUGGUGGAUGCUUGCCAUCAACCCCCAAUUUUUCUAUGGUUGACCUCGGAUCAGGUAGGGAUACCCGCUGAACUUAAGCAUAUCAAAAGCGGAGG
rnacentral:misc_RNA from 1 species